UGGAUGGUUGUGGUUGGCAGGCUCCGUGCUCGUGCAUCGAACUGUUGACGCUCCAUCCGCUUCAAUGUUUCCCCGAGUGAAGCUCUUUCCUUGUGGGUUCGAGUGGUAUCCUGUGUUGCUUACCGAUGAAUUGGAAUUCGAUGGUUUGGUUUAGUUGGUCCGCCUUGUGCCCUUUUGGGGGUGCGGGGUGGAUGUUAGGCGAGCACUGUGUUCCCAACAAGCCUACUGCAUUGGCAUAUGGCUGUUGCGGCCCAUGGUGGGUUCGCUCGUUCUCUUGGAUGCAGAAAGCUAUGUGUGGGCGCGAGGCCUAGGCCUCAAAUCGUCCAAGCACACUGUCCCUUGUCUCGAAUGACUGCGGCGCCCGUCUUGAUCUCUCCGACCAAGGCCUCGUAAUGGGGCUUACUGGACGAGGA
rnacentral:misc_RNA from 1 species